rnacentral:rRNA from 1 species
UACGGGGGGGGUAAGCGUUGUUCGGAAUUACUGGGCGGAAAGGGCUCGUAGGCGGCCAACUAAGUCAGACGUGAAAUCCCUCAGCUUAACUGGGGAACUGCGUCUGAUACUGGAUGGCUUGGAUUCGGGAGAGGAAUGCGGAAUUCCAGGUGUAGCGGUGAAAUGCGUAGAUAUCUGGAGGAACACCGGUGGCGAAGGCGGCAUUCUGGACCGACAUUGACGCUGAGGAGCGAAAGCCAGGGGAGCAAACGGG